rnacentral:sRNA from 1 species
CGAUAGAUGGCGUUACCGGUGUAGCAAU